rnacentral:rRNA from 1 species
CCUACGGGGUGCACCAGUGGGGAAUAUUGCACAAUGGGCGCAAGCCUGAUGCAGCCAUGCCGCGUGUGUGAAGAAGGCCUUCGGGUUGUAAAGCACUUUCAGCGGGGAGGAAGGCGAUAAGGUUAAUAACCUUGUCGAUUGACGUUACCCGCAGAAGAAGCACCGGCUAACUCCGUGCCAGCAGCCGCGGUAAUACGGAGGGUGCAAGCGUUAAUCGGAAUUACUGGGCGUAAAGCGCACGCAGGCGGUCUGUCAAGUCGGAUGUGAAAUCCCCGGGCUCAACCUGGGAACUGCAUUCGAAACUGGCAGGCUAGAGUCUUGUAGAGGGGGGUAGGAUUCCAGGUGUAGCGGUGAAAUGCGUAGAGAUCUGGAGGAAUACCGGUGGCGAAGGCGGCCCCCUGGACAAAGACUGACGCUCAGGUGCAAAAGCGUGGGGAGCAAACAGGAUUAGGUACCCUCGUAGUC